rnacentral:tRNA from 1 species
GAGGGUGUAGCUCAGUGGUAGAGCGCAUGCUUAGCAUGCACAAGGUCCUGGGUUCAACCCCAGUACCUCUG